CUCCUUCCCAACCCACGCCGCAGCGAUCGCAGACUCUAGGGGAGGGAGCGAAGUUCUCUCUAUCGUUCCAGCGCCUCCGAGGGUGUAAAGCAAGACUCUGGGAAUGAGAAGCUGGCUUCCCUUCAAGAUGACGUGAAAGGGAACUGAUGGCCUGUGCGAUUAAGGUCCUCCAAAUGCAGAAUCCGAAGGGCUUUAGCCUGUAUCAAGAGGAUCCAGUGAUGUAAACUCUUCCAGGCCUUCAGUACCUGCCAUCUCCACACGGGGAGCCUCUCUUGGAUCCAUCUGGAAGACAGGCUCCUCCCCAGCCUGCAGCUUUCUCCUCAGCACACUCCCAUCUGCUGCUGACAUCCGAAAACAACCCAGAGUCAUCUGUCCCCUGAUAAAUUCCAUUCCUCUUCUCUAUGUGGC
rnacentral:lncRNA from 1 species